rnacentral:tRNA from 1 species
GCCCAGGUGGUGAAAUUGGUAGACACGCCAGCUUCAGGUGCUGGUGAUCGCAAGGUCGUGGAAGUUCGAGUCUUCUCCUGUGCACCA